GACGAACGCUGGCGGCGUGCUUAACACAUGCAAGUCGAACGGAAGGGCCCUGCUUUUGUGGGGUGCUCGAGUGGCGAACGGGGGAGUAACACGUGAGUAACCUGCCCUUGACUGAGGGAUAAAUUCAGGAAACUGGGGCUAAUACCGGAUAGGAGCUCCUGCUGCAUGGUGGGGGUAGGAAAGUUUCGGCGGUUGGGGAUGGACUCGCGGCUUAUCAGCUUGUUGGUGGGGUAGUGGCUUACCAAGGUUUUGACGGGUAGCCGGCCUGAGAGGGUGACCGGCCACAUUGGGACAGAGAUACGGCCCAGACUCCUACGGGAGGCAGCAGUGGGGAAUAUUGCACAAUGGGCGGAGGCCGGAGGCAGCAACGCCGCGUGCGGGAAGACGGCCUUCGGGUUGUAAAACGCUUUCGCCUGUGACGAGGCGUGAGUGACGGUAAUGGGUAAAGAAGCACCGGCGAACUACGU
rnacentral:rRNA from 1 species